rnacentral:misc_RNA from 1 species
AUGAAAAAUAGUUUCUUUGAUAAUUCUUCAGCACUAGAGUAGAUGAUCUGCCUAUUCUUAAAAACUAAAAGCAGAUCACAAUUAAGUUUUAAACUCAUAAAAAAUGAGAAAAAAUUCCUACACAAGAAAAAGGAAAUAAAAAAAAAAAAUCGAGAAAACAUAAAAGAAAGAGGACGCUCUACAAUACAAUAGUAAGAGUGUCGCCUGACAGUUCUCAUCUCCAAAGAGAAAUUGAGGCCAAGGCUCCUCCUACUGAAGAAGACCACCGUCAAGCAUUUCCUCUCAAUAACCUUUGUUGAUUUUAAAACAUCUACUGUUAUGAAUUUAAAGGACAGCGAAAUAAAACCAGAGACCAUUAAUGCUAGGGAAAUAAAAAGCCCAAUAUCAUACCAGUAACGGAAAUUCUGUUUCCACAUUUCACAUUAAAACCAUCCCCACAGCAUUCUACUAGUCUACUCUAACUUUAUAAAAGGCAAGCUAUAAUAGCUUUUACAAAAUCCUUUUCACUUAAAUUGCAACAACCAUCUGCAAACCAAUGAUAAAUUACUUUGGGCCAAUGUCCUUAAGAGCACAGAUCUGCUCCUCCCCCAUUGAAGACAUGACUGUCACAACAAGGUCUUUUCCCUCAGCAAAGCCAUCUUUGAUCUGCAUUCACCGAUAAAUGAUACAAUUAAUUUACAAUACAAGAAUCCAGAAGAACAAAUUUGAUAUCAGAAAAAAAAUAAAGAAAAAUAAUUUUACACAAUAUAAUAACAAUAAUAAUAACAACAAUUUGACUACAGCAGUGUGUAUAGCUUUAGAUAAUAGCAGAAAACAAAUACACACACAGUCUUAAAAUAAAAAUUCAUGAACCUAUUCAGCAUUCAGACACUGCAAUAUACAAGUCAAUCAUUUAACAACAGAGAAGGAUCCUGCUUUGCAAGCUAUAAUGCUGAUUGAAUGAUUGUUUUCCUAAUUACAGCCUACAAUAUUAGCCCAUUCCAAACACUAUCUAGAAUGGCAAGCAAAUUAACUCUCUGAUAAAAAAAUCAGGAAUUAGUAUAC